rnacentral:misc_RNA from 1 species
GAUGAAGAACGCAGUGAAAUGCGAUAAGUAAUGUGAAUUGCAGAAUUCAGUGAAUCAUCGAAUCUUUGAACGCAUCUUGCGCUCCUUGGUAUUCUGAGGAGCAUGCCUGUUUGAGUGUCAUUAAAUUCUCAACCGCACUGACUUUGAAUUGGUGUGGCUUGGAUUUGGGGGGAAAAUUGUUGUGGGCUUUUUUGUAUAGUCUGCUCCCCUGAAAUUGAUUAGCGGUACCUUUGUGGAACUGUCUACAGGUGUGAUAAUUAUCUACAUCCUAGACAUCUGCUGGAAUGCUGCUUUCUAAACCUUACUUGUAUUGACAAUCUUGACCUCAAAUCAGGUAGGACUACCCGCUGAACUUAAGCAUAUCAAUAAGCGGAGGA